rnacentral:lncRNA from 1 species
GGUGUGUACUAGUACAUUAAUAUAUACCAGUAUAGACAGACAGACUAGUGUCCUGUCCAGGGGGUGUACUAGUACAUUAAUAUAUACCAGUAUAGUCAGACAGACUAGUGUCCUGUCCAGGGGGUGUACUAGUACAUUAAUAUAUACCAGUAUAGACAGACAGACUAGUGUCCUGUCCAGGGGGUGUACUAGUACAUUAAUAUAUACCAGUAUAGACAGACAGACUAGUGUCCUGUCCAGGGGGUGUACUAGUACAUUAAUAUAUACCAGUAUAGUCAGACAGACUAGUGUCCUGUCCAGGGGGUGUACUAGUACAUUAAUAUAUACCAGUAUAGACAGACAGACUAGUGUCCUGUCCAGGGGGUGUACUAGUACAUUAAGUUGCCUCACGCUUCAGAAACAGGAGACAGGCUCCUGCCCUUUGGGCCGCUCUGGCUUGGACAAGGCUUCCUUAUUUUGGCAGUAUGCUCACCGAGUAAGACACUGAUCUAGAGAGAUACUACUCCUAUGAUUAAUCACUCUAUGGCUGUGUGCUCCAAAUGGCACCCUAUUCCCUACAUAGUACACUACUUUUAACCACAGCCCUAUGGGCUCUGGUCAAUAGUAGUGCAGUAUAUAGGGAAUAGGGUGCCUUACCUUUUGGGACGCCUGCCUACAUCAGUGAUUAAUUAAUACAACCUUAGUUCUCCAGAGGGAUGAACGGUUCAUAGUUAACUAUGUGCUGAACGUAAUGAGAUGGCAGAUUACCUCAUCAUAUUAACAAGAGACUGGAAACAGAGUUGGAAACCAAUUAGGAACAUGCAUCAACACUUCUCUCCUCUAUUGCCAGCAGUAUGAUUAUGAAGAACAAAAAAUAAACAACAGAAUUCUCUACUUUUAAAUGAAAGGGAACAUUCUAGGCUAGGGAACAUUCUAGGCUAGGGAACAUUCCAGGCUAGGGAACAUUCUAGGCUAGGGAACAUUCUUUCAGCUAGUUUAAGCUAUGUUCAUAUUCCAGAUGCACAACCAUCCCAUAGAUCAUGUGGAAUUAUACCUACUGUAAAUGAUACCUACUGUAAAUGAUACAUACUGU